rnacentral:rRNA from 1 species
GAUGAACGCUGGCGGCAUGCCUAACACAUGCAAGUCGAUCGGUAAGGCUCUUCGGAGUACACGAGAGGCGGACGGCUGAGUAACACGUAGGAACACACCCUGCAGUGAGGGAUAAGACACCGAAAGGUGUUCUAAUACCGCAUACGGUCUUCGGAUUAAAGCAUUUAUGCGCUGAAGGAGUGGCCUGCGUCAUAUUAGAUAGUUGGUGAGGUAAUGGCUCACCAAGUCGAUGAUGUGUAGCUGGUCUGAGAGGAUGAUCAGCCAGACUGGAACUGAGACACGGUCCAGGCUCCUACGGGAGGCAGCAGUGAGGAAUAUUUCACAAUGAGCGAAAGCUUGAUGGAGCAAUGCCGCGUGCAGGAUGAAGGCCCUCGGGUUGUAAACUGCUUUUAUAAGAGAAGAUUAUGACGGUAACUUAUGAAUAAGGGACGGCUAACUACGUG